rnacentral:tRNA from 1 species
UCCUCUGUAGCUCAGAUGGUAGAGCAUGGCGCUGGCAACGCCAGGAUCAUGGGUUUCGAUUGCCACUGAGGCC